GGGUGGCAAUGACCCACUAUUUCUUGUUUUCUCAGCAAAUACCUGGUACGAAGGUCGUUAUAUCUGCUGGACUUCUAACAAAACCGGCACAUAUAAGGGUGGAUUUGCACAUAAUAUAACCUACUACAAUGUCACCGAUCCGAAAAGACCGCCUGAGCUUUUGUCAAGGUUCGCCGUUUGGUAUACUUCCGAGUUGGGCAAACGUCCAAUAAUCACUCUCCAGGAUAGCAGUGACAUAGUAUGCGUGUACUUGGUGGCGGAAAGUCAUAUCCACACUAAUGGUACGCGGUGCGACGCUGUAUAUCGACAGAAGUGCAAGAUUGCUAGUGGGGUCAAGUAUUUUUGGCGGAAGAAUUGCACCUGGAAAAAUAUACCAAGGCGACCAAAGUAGCGCUACUUUUUGGCAAAUUUGUGCUUUUCCGCGUUAACAAGCGCAAUAAAUAAAUAAGUCAUUUAUUUUUCCAUAGGUGG